UUACGUGGGACGUAAAGCGCAUGCAGGCGGCCUGUUAAGUCAGAUGUAGAAACGGCCCGGGGACCUUAACCGUACGGUAAGUUGCUAUUUAGUAAACGUGGCGAGGCUAGAGUCUUGUAGAGGGGGGUAGGAAUUUCAGGUGUAGCGGUGAAAUGCGUAGAGAUCUGAAGGAAUACCAGUGGCGAAGGCGGCCCCCUGGACAAAGACUGACGCUCAGAUGCGAAAGCGUGGGGAGCAAACAGGAUUAGAUACCCUGGUAG
rnacentral:rRNA from 1 species